rnacentral:rRNA from 1 species
GAAAGAAAGAUUAAUACCCGAUGGCAUAGUUCUUCCGCAUGGUAGAACUAUUAAAGAAUUUCGGUCAUCGAUGGGGAUGCGUUCCAUUAGGUUGUUGGCGGGGUAACGGCCCACCAAGCCUUCGAUGGAUAGGGGUUCUGAGAGGAAGGUCCCCCACAUUGGAACUGAGACACGGUCCAAACUCCUACGGGAGGCAGCAGUGAGGAAUAUUGGUCAAUGGACGAGAGUCUGAACCAGCCAAGUAGCGUGAAGGAUGACUGCCCUAUGGGUUGUAAACUUCUUUUAUACGGGAAUAAAGUGAGGCACGUGUGCCUUUUUGUAUGUACCGUAUGAAUAAGGAUCGGCUAACUCCGUGCCAGCAGCCGCGGUAAUACGGAGGAUCCGAGCGUUAUCCGGAUUUAUUGGGUUUAAAGGGAGCGUAGGCGGACGCUUAAGUCAGUUGUGAAAGUUUGCGGCUCAACCGUAAAAUUGCAGUUGAUACUGGGUGUCUUGAGUACAGUAGAGGCAGGCGGAAUUCGUGGUGUAGCGGUGAAAUGCUUAGAUAUCACGAAGAACUCCGAUUGCGAAGGCAGCUUGCUGGACUGUAACUGACGCUGAUGCUCGAAAGUGUGGGUAUCAAACAGGAUUAGAUACCCUGGUAGUCCACACAGUAAACGAAGAAGACUCGCUGUUUGCGAUAUACAGUAAGCG